UCAACAUUCACAAACAGAUCCAUGGUGUGGGAUUCAAGAAACGCGCCCCCCAUGCUCUCAAGGAGAUCCGUAAAUUUGCAAUGAAGGAGAUGGGUACUCCUGAUGUACGCACUGACAGAUCAGAAG